rnacentral:rRNA from 1 species
GAUGAACGCUGGCGGCGUGCCUAAUACAUGCAAGUCGAGCGAACAGACGAGGAGCUUGCUCCUCUGACGUUAGCGGCGGACGGGUGAGUAACACGUGGAUAACCUACCUAUAAGACUGGGAUAACUUCGGGAAACCGGAGCUAAUACCGGAUAAUAUAUUGAACCGCAUGGUUCAAUAGUGAAAGACGGUUUUGCUGUCACUUAUAGAUGGAUCCGCGCCGCAUUAGCUAGUUGGUAAGGUAACGGCUUACCAAGGCAACGAUUCGUAGCCGACCUGAGAGGGUGAUCGGCCACACUGGAACUGAGACACGGUCCAGACUCCUACGGGAGGCAGCAGUAGGGAAUCUUCCGAAAUGGGCGAAAGCUUGACGGAGCAACGCCGCGUGAGUGAUGAAGGUCUUCGGAUCGUAAAACUCUGUUAUUAGGGAAGAACAAAUGUGUAAGUAACUAUGCACGUCUUGACGGUACCUAAUCAGAAAGCCACGGCUAACUACGUG